UACGAAGGGUGCAAGCGUUACUCGGAAUUACUGGGCGUAAAGCGUGCGUAGGUGGUUAUUUAAGUCCGUUGUGAAAGCCCUGGGCUCAACCUGGGAACUGCAGUGGAUACUGGAUGACUAGAAUGUGGUAGAGGGUAGCGGAAUUCCUGGUGUAGCAGUGAAAUGCGUAGAGAUCAGGAGGAACAUCCAUGGCGAAGGCAGCUACCUGGACCAACAUUGACACUGAGGCACGAAAGCGUGGGGAGCAAACAGGAUUAGAUACCCCGGUAGUCC
rnacentral:rRNA from 1 species